rnacentral:rRNA from 1 species
GAGUUUGAUUCUGGCUCAGAACGAACGCUGGCGGCAGGCCUAACACAUGCAAGUCGAACGGUCCGCAAGGACAGUGGCGCACGGGUGAGUAACGCGUGGGAACCUGCCCUGGAGUGAGGGAUAACCACUGGAAACGGUGGCUAAUACCGCAUACGCCCUUCGGGGGAAAGAUUUAUCGCUCUGGGAUGGGCCCGCGUCCAAUUAGGUAGUUGGUGGGGUAAUGGCCCACCAAGCC